rnacentral:lncRNA from 1 species
GGCCAUGUAGUGUACGUUUGUUUAAGGCUUGUAUUAAGGCCUAAGUAGCAUAGGAUUUUCCUUAAAAAGUUAGGCAUCCAAACCAAGUGAAAAGUGUGUGCCAUGCGGCAUGCUUCCAUUGGAGAGGAUUUGCUUUUAAAAAGGUAGCCACAUGGCACCCUAGGAGUGGAGAGGAUUUACUUUUAGUAGUGGUCAAAUGGCACUCUAGGAAUGAAGAGGAUUGUGUUUUGUGAGUGGCCACAUGUCCUCCCAUCAUUGGAGAGGUUAGAAGGCCUCAUUUUUGGCAAAUGAGAGCAAAGGUGGGAGAUCAUGCUUUUAGGGUUAGAAGGAGACACCCUUGGCCUAUAAAUAGAGGUGUCUCCACCCUUGUAUUUCAUCUUUGAUUUUGAGUAAUGUUAUGCUGCCCAUUUUUGGCCAUACUACUCAUCUUAGAUCAAGACUAGAGCAACCCAUGAGGCCCCUCUAGUCACCUUCCUCCUUGAGUUGGCCUAACCUCUCUUGGAUCCAUCAAACACUACGCCACCACCACCACAUCUCCUAGAGGCUUUGAGCUUCUACACCAUUCAUACAAUAGCUCAUCAUCCUUGGACCAUUUACCACCACAUUUCCGCACCAUUCAUCCAAGGAAACACCCGUCCAUUGCAUCCUUCUAAGCUUUGGCCCAACUUAACUUAAGGAGGUUGCCAUCAUUUGGUAUCACAGCUUUGGUUCUUCAAGAGCUAAGUCUUUUGGUUCUUAUCUAUCCUUUAUUUUUCCAUAUUGUUGAUGCUUUUUUUUCCCUACUUGUCUUGUGUUUUGUUUUCCAUCUAUCAUUUGUUCUGGUAGCAAACUGUGACGAUUUUGAAACUUGAACUGCAUCUAGCUCAGUUGUCCAAAAAAUACGUAAAAAUAUUCAAAUGAAAGCCCUUGGAGUGUAGUUUCCAACAAAACAAGAAUCGCUUCAUUUGGAUUUCUGUGCAGAACGUUAUAAGUAAAACAUUCGGCAAAGGUCAAAGUUGCCAGGAUGUUGUCAUUAGCGUUUUUCAAGUUUGUUUUCGGUAGUUUUGGCUAAUUUUUUGUGCUUUUUCUUUCUUUUGAGUCAUUCCUUGUUGUGUUUUUUGGUCUUAUAUGCUUAUUUUGUUUCAUUUUCAUUUUUGAAUCCAUCCAUGUUGUCUAGAGUCAUGUUUAGUCCUUUAAAUGUCUUUACUUCAAUGUUUAACC